rnacentral:rRNA from 1 species
UACGUAGGGCGCAAGCGUUGUCCGGAAUUAUUGGGCGUAAAGAGCUCGUAGGCGGCUCGUCACGUCGGGUGUGAAAGCCCGGGGCUUAACUCCGGGUCUGCAUUCGAUACGGGCUGGCUAGAGGGAGGUAGGGGAGAGCGGAACUCCUGGUGUAGCGGUGAAAUGCGCAGAUAUCAGGAGGAACACCGAUGGCGAAGGCGGCUCUCUGGGCCGAUACUGACGCUGAGGAGCGAAAGCGUGGGGAGCGAACGGG